rnacentral:rRNA from 1 species
UACGAAGGGGGCUAGCGUUGCUCGGAAUCACUGGGCGUAAAGCGCACGUAGGCGGAUUGCUAAGUCAGGGGUGAAAUCCUGGAGCUCAACUCCAGAACUGCCUUUGAUACUGAGGAUCUUGAGUUCGGGAGAGGUGAGUGGAACUGCGAGUGUAGAGGUGAAAUUCGUAGAUAUUCGCAAGAACACCAGUGGCGAAGGCGGCUCACUGGCCCGAUACUGACGCUGAGGCACGAAAGCGUGGGGAGCCAAACAGGG